GAUCAUGCUCAGAUUGAACGCUGGCGGCAGGCCUAACACAUGCAAGUCGAACGGUAACAGGAAACAGCUUGCUGUUUCGCUGACGAGUGGCGGACGGGUGAGUAAUGUCUGGGAAACUGCCUGAUGGAGGGGGAUAACUACUGGAAACGGUAGCUAAUACCGCAUAACGUCGCAAGACCAAAGAGGGGGGACCUUCGGGCCUCUUGCCAUCGGAUGUGCCCAGAUGGGAUUAGCUAGUAGGUGGGG
rnacentral:rRNA from 1 species